ACUCUAAUAGUUUAUAAAAACAUCGGUCUUGUAAACCGAAGAAUGAAGGCCAUCCCUCUUCUUAAGAGUU
rfam:Patagioenas fasciata monilis isolate BTP2013 Sc31e1R_77, whole genome shotgun sequence.